AUUUUUUUUUUUUUUUAAUUUCUUUAAUUUUCUUCCUAAAAACCAUUUGAUUUUAAAAAUAUUUAUAUUAUAUAUGACCGAGUCAAACCAGUUGAACUGGUAAGCAGAUGAAUUCCAUGAUCACUCUAAUCUUAAAACACCAAUAAAAACAGAUCCCAUAUCCAGAUUACAGGAAAUUUACUCCUUUUUUUCCCCUCAAAAACAGUACUUAAAUGUGAGUAUGUUUUCCUAACAUUCAGAAAUUAUUUCAAAAGAUUUUAAAAGAUGGCUGAUUCCUUGCUCGAGAAAUGGGAUUUCUCCACUACUACUUUUUCCAGUCAAUGGAUGCAACAUCAAGCUCUAUUCCCUUACUUCUAGUUCUGUUCUUCAACAAUGUCUUAUACUUAAAGAGGACAAUUAAGUGGAACAACCUCAACUCAACUCAACUCAACUAAACCUUUAUCCCAAAAAUUUGGGGUC
rnacentral:misc_RNA from 1 species